GACGUAGGGCGCGAGCGUUGUCCGGAUUCAUUGGGCGUAAAGGGUGCGUAGGCGGCGCGGUAAGUCGGGUGUGAAAUCUCGGAGCUUAACUCCGAAACUGCAUUCGAUACUGCCGUGCUUGAGGACUGGAGAGGAGACUGGAAUUUACGGUGUAGCGGUGAAAUGCGUAGAUAUCGUAAGGAAGACCAGUGGCGAAGGCGGGUCUCUGGACAGUUCCUGACGCUGAGGCACGAAGGCCAGGGGAGCAAACGGG
rnacentral:rRNA from 1 species